GACAGUGUCUGGUGGGUAGUUUGACUGGGGCGGUCUCCUCCUAAAGAGUAACGGAGGAGCACGAAGGUUGGCUAAUCCUGGUCGGACAUCAGGAGGUUAGUGCAAUGGCAUAAGCCAGCUUGACUGCGAGCGUGACGGCGCGAGCAGGUGCGAAAGCAGGUCAUAGUGAUCCGGUGGUUCUGAAUGGAAGGGCCAUCGCUCAACGGAUAAAAGGUACUCCGGGGAUAACAGGCUGAUACCGCCCAAGAGUUCAUAUCGACGGCGGUGUUUGGCACCUCGAUGUCGGCUCAUCACAUCCUGGGGCUGAAGUAGGUCCCAAGGGUAUGGCUGUUCGCCAUUUAAAGUGGUACGCGAGCUGGGUUUAGAACGUCGUGAGACAGUUCGGUCCCUAUCUGCCGUGGGCGCUGGAGAACUGAGGGGGGCUGCUCCUAGUACGAGAGGACCGGAGUGGACGCAUCACUGGUGUUCGGGUUGUCAUGCCAAUGGCACUGCCCGGUAGCUAAAUGCGGAAGAGAUAAGUGCUGAAAGCAUCUAAGCACGAAACUUGCCCCGAG
rnacentral:rRNA from 3 species